rnacentral:rRNA from 1 species
UAGGGAAUCUUCCACAAUGGGCGAAAGCCUGAUGGAGCAACGCCGCGUGUGUGAUGAAGGGUUUCGGCUCGUAAACNCUGUUGUAAGAGAAGAAUGACAUUGAGAGUAACUGUUCAAUGUGUGACGGUAUCUUACCAGAAAGGAACGGCUAAAUACGUGCUAG